UGGGGAAUUUUGGACAAUGGGGGCAACCCUGAUCCAGCCAUUCCGCGUGAGUGAAGAAGGCCUUCGGGUUGUAAAGCUCUUUUGUCCGGAGCGAAACGGGCGGCCCUAAUACGGUCGUCUACUGACGGUACCGGAAGAAUAAGCACCGGCUAACUACGUGCCAGCAGCCGCGGUAAUACGUAGGGUGCGAGCGUUAAUCGGAAUUACUGGGCGUAAAGCGUGCGCAGGCGGUUUUGUAAGCCAGAUGUGAAAUCCCCGGGCUCAACCUGGGAAUGGCAUUUGGGACUGCAAGGCUGGAGUGUGGCAGAGGGGACUAGAAUUCCUGGUGUAGCAGUGAAAUGCGUAGAUAUCAGGAGGAAUACCGAUGGCGAAGGCAGGUCCCUGGGUUAACACUGACGCUCAUGCACGAAAGCGUGGGGAGCAAACAGG
rnacentral:rRNA from 1 species